AAGCAAGUAGCCGUGGCCAUCUGAUCUCCAACUGCACGCGAGAGCAACCUGGAGAGACGGGGACAGCUCAGGUCAGCAAAGGAUCUGCAGCUGCCACUCGCCUUGCCUGUUAAA
rnacentral:snoRNA from 1 species